ACAAUGUCUCUGUAUGUAGGCCAGAGGGAACAUAAGGUGUGUUUCAGCCUGAACAUGUCCCCUUCUUGUGUGUCUUGUGUGUCACAGGACAGUGACCUGGAGGCCAUGAUCAGGCACAUGGAAAAUGUUCUGGAUGGUGACUUGGUUGGAGCUGAAGCAGAGGAACAGAAGUCUCAGCUGGGUUCUCUGGGAGCGAGUAGCAUCAAUACCUCCAUGGCUGAGGGCAGAAUACAGCGCAUGAAAGAGUGAGUAUGCCAUCCUUGUCCUGUUCACUGUCUGCUUUUCUUGCUCCAGAGGCUCCUAAAAGCCCAUCCUGCCUCUCUGUCAUUCCUAAAGCCAGAGUCUGAUUUUCACAGGGCCAGGCAGAUGUGUGGCUCACAGCUAAAACUCCUGUGCUGAUUUAUUAGAAAUAGUACAAUAGCUGUAUCAGUAGGUAGUACUACUUAAGUUUACGACCUACCUUACUAGGUCGGUUCGUUUCGUCGUACGUUUCCCUUUUCCGUUUUCGUUUUCGUUUUUUUUUUUUUUUUAAAUUUGCAUUGACUUGCAAUGGCUGAUUCUAGAACAAAUUUCAUUUUUGUAUAUCACUGUUCCAUGUGUGAUUCAAUUCAGGCAUUAUAUGAGAAUGGUAUGAGCAUUAUAUGAAUUCAAAAUUAAAUUUAGAGGCCUCUAGACAGCAUUUCCAAACAUGAACAAAUGUCUGAAAGCACAAAAAUGAAUAUUUAUUCGAAGGCUACCUAAACGACCCACUCCUGCCUCUCUGUCAUUCCUAAAGCCAGAGUCUGAUUUCACAGGGCCAGGCAGAUGUGUGGCUCACAGCUAAAACUCCUGUGCUGAUUUAUUAGAAAUAGUACAAUAGCUGUAUCAGCAGGCCACAAACAUGGGCAAAGUGCAUCGCUGAUGAAUAGCAUGCAUUUGAAAAACAUUUAAUCAAGACAGUAGCAUUGGUUUUUUAAUUGUUUUAGCAGUGAUCAUUUAGCACUUCAGUGGCUUUGUCAGUUCCUUUCCUUUCGUUUCUUUUUUUUUUUUUAAUUGCAUUGACUUGCAAUGGCUGAUUCUAGAACAAAUUUCAUUUUUGUAUAUCACUGUUCCAUGUGUGAUUCAAUUCAGGCAUUAUAUGAGAAUGGUAUGAGCAUUAUAUGAAUUCAAAAUUAAAUUUAGAGGCCUCUAGACAGCAUUUCCAAACAUGAACAAAUGUCUGAAAGCACAAAAAUGAAUAUUUAUUGGUCUUUUUGUACACUGUUCUGUAUAUCAAUAACUUCUCCUGCCGUUUUAGUAACCCAAUAAUCCUGGUAACUCCUCCCUGUGGUUUGUUUAUCUAGGUACAUUUUAAUAUGAAGUUCUGCUUGGAAUGUCAUUUAUGAUACAUAAAGCCAAUUUACUAUUUUUCAGGUUAUUGUACACAGAUGCUUUUCCAUUUUUCCUCAGGACUUCAUCUCUGUCAUCUUCUGUAGAGAUACCUUCAGCUUCUUUUCUUAUUUCCUAGGUUGUAGAACUAAUUCUCUUCACUGUCUGUAUUACCUCUACAAGAGCAACAAAUUAUUCCCUGCAAAAGCUGGGUCCGUCAGAUGAUUUUUGAUGAUGAAAACUUCAGCAAGGCUGCAUUAAACUGAUCAAAAGUGACAGUAAAGACAUUUACGGUGUUAAGUAAAUGCUGUUCUUUUGAACUUUAUAUAUUCAAAGAAACCUGAAAACUGUAUUAUGCAGCACAAAUUGUUUUCAACAUUGAUAUUGUUAAGAAAUGUUUCUUGAGGACCAAAUCAUAUUAGAAUGAAUCAUGUGACACUGAAGACUGGAAUAAUGGCUGCUGAAAAUUCAGCUUUGCUUCACAAGAAUACAUUACAUUUUAAAAUGUAUUAAAAUGGAUAACAGUUAUUUUCAAUUGUAAUAAUUUCAAAAUAUUACAGUUUUUACUGUAUUUUUGAUCCACUAAAUGCAGCCUUGGUGAGCAUAAUAGACUUCUUUCAAAAAAAAAAUCUUAAGAACCCCAAACUUUUGAAUGGUUGUGUAUUACUACAAGGCUGCAGAACCUUUCCUGACGGCAGGCCGGGCCUGUGGCUCUGCUACUGAGUGUGGGUUGAAGAUAUUAAUAACAGAAGCACUCUUCCUGUGAGGGCAGGAAUUAGAGGCUGUCAGCUCCCUCUCUGCAAGUCUCAUAAGACUGUAAAGAUGAGGAGGAGGGAGAAGGAGAGCACAGGUAGCAAUUUACAACAGCUGCAUUUUCCCUACACAGCCUCUCGUCAGCUGUGCGGUGACUCUACAGUCUUGUACCUCCAGAUGCAGCUCUACUCAGCUCCCACUUCUUUCUUUCGGAGUGAAGAAGUUCUCCGGUGUAUGCAGGUGCAGGCUGAUUCUAAAUCUGAACAAGAAAUAUUCUCUCAGUUUGUUUCUCUUGGUUUAUUCAGUUGAGUUGCAUUUCAACUGAAGGAACUUUCAGCGAA
rnacentral:lncRNA from 1 species